GCUGUGCCUUCAAGGUAUAAAAGUUCUUGCAAGGCACACAGAGAGUUUUCAGGUCUCCCUUGUAGUGAGGAAUUACUGCUGCCUGCUUGGGUUAUUUGCACUCAGACUGCUUUGCUUGUUCUCAGGUUUAUCAGUGAUGCAGUGCACUGCCACCUGAAAGAGCUGCAUUAAUACAGCUGGGAUUUCACUUCACCUGGGCAACAAUGACAUUCACAGAAGAGAUGUCCCAUCUGCUGCAAACACAUUGCUUUAUUGGCCCAGCAAAUUACCUCAGCUCUAGAGAACAGCACAAAUCGAGCUGUGGAGUGCUGCUGUAGUUGCUGACCUCCUCCAGCUGAUCCAAGAAACAUCACUUCCCCACGGUUCAGUAAACUUUGGAGUUGCACCUACCUGCCAAUACUAUGUGAAGCCAUUACAGAGAGAACUUCUGUUGUUUUUUGCCGGACAGUUUGGUCUUGAUGCACCAGCAAAGUCUUCAGGCUCUCCAGGAAUCCUAUGAGACAUCAGAGUUCAUUUUAACAUUUCUUACCUCCAGCAUUAAUUUGAAAUAGCAAAUAUUUAUCUUUUAUCUCACAAUUUGAAGUGCCUCAGACUUUUCAGCUUGUCCUGACAGUGAAAUUCUCAUUGUCAUGUCUCAAGUAAGGAAAAAACUUUCAAAUUUCAAGGCCUACUGCCAAAAACAUCAUGCUGCAAACAAGCUCCUGACUCCUUAUCAAGUUAAAUCCUAAUCCUGCAAAUGUAAAGUGACAUAACUCUAAAAAUAAUUCAGUAGAGCUACCAAUGUCUUUGGAAAAGCAUGUUUUUGCAGGAUUGACACUCACUUGUCUUUUUUGGACAGAAAUGAAUGUGGUGAGCCAUUAAUGAUUGCGUAUGCACAUAUGGCACUGACCAAAGCCAAAAAACCUAACAACCUCAAACUAAAAACAAUCUCACAUUGCUUUGGCAAUCAAACUCUUCAUCAAACACUAACUUAGUAAAUUUUGAACAUGAUUAGUCUCUUUUAUGAGAGGAAAAAAAUGCAAUGGAAGUAAAUGGAGAAAAAAGCAGUAGCAAACAAGGAGUUUUUUCUGUGUCAUGUAAUGAGCUAUGUAGAUACACCACAGACUCCUAAAAAUCGCAAAAAUGAGCUUGGGGUUAGGGGUUUUCCCACCCCCACCAAAAUCGAAACUCAGGAUUCUUCCAGGCUUUUGAAAUAAGUGGUGGCCAGAUGUAGUCCUGAUGAGUAUGAUAAAUUUGGUUAUAUCCUUUUAUUUUCUAAUUUCUCAUUAAGUUCCAGGCAAGCAGGUGAUGAUGGUGAUGGGAUUCUAACUUCAAAAUAAUUAAGUGGGGUUUUUUUUAUUAGGCUAUGUUAGGAAUUAAAUAAAAUCAGAAUAAAGUCUGGGGACAUGGUUUAAUGGUGAUCAUGGCAAGGCAGAGUUAACAGAGGAACUGGAUUAUCUUAGAGAUCUUUUCCAACCAUAACAAUUCUAUGAUUCUAUGGAAAGAAAGAUUUCACACUACUUUUGUAUUUAGGGGUUUAUAAAACUUACAGUGAGCCAUUGAUGAAUCCUAAAGCAAUGAUAAUUCUUCUAAUAACUGUCAUGUAUAUGGUAUUAUAACAGUCUUUACCUUUCUAAGGUAAAACAAA